AACCAUAGAAACCUGCGGAGUACCUGCGGAAGGAUCAUUACCACACCGAUCCAACGAUCAACACCCCUGUGAAGUUGUGUGUCGUUUUCUUUCUUUUUGAUGAUGAACCUGCCUUUUGCGGAUUUGUCGGGGGAGCUUGCGUUUCGAGGUGAGGAUGGAUCUUUUGUUUGAGAUCGAUCUACACCUUGGGGGCCUGGUUUCUCUUGCGGUCCCGGAGGUGGGGGAACCACAAACACAUAA
rnacentral:misc_RNA from 1 species